rnacentral:rRNA from 1 species
AGGGUUUGAUCAUGGCUCAGAACGAACGCUGGCGGCAGGCCUAACACAUGCAAGUCGAACGAUCCGUGCCCUUCGGGGCACAAUGGAUAGUGGCGCACGGGUGAGUAACGCGUGGGAACAUACCCUAGAGUACGGAAUAACCCAGGGAAACUUGGGCUAAUACCGUAUACGCCCUACGGGGGAAAGAUUUAUCGCUCAGGGAUUGGCCCGCGUCUGAUUAGUUUGUUGGUGAGGUAACGGCUCACCAAGACUUCGAUCAGUAGCUGGUCUGAGAGGAUGAUCAGCCACACUGGGACUGAGACACGGCCCAGACUCCUACGGGAGGCAGCAGUGGGGAAUAUUGGACAAUGGGGGCAACCCUGAUCCAGCCAUGCCGCGUGAGUGAAGAAGGCCUUCGGGUUGUAAAGCUCUUUCAGCGGGGACGAUGAUGACGGUACCCGCAGAAGAAGCCCCGGCUAACUCCGUGCCAGCAGCCGCGGUAAUACGGAGGGGGCUAGCGUUGUUCGGAAUUACUGGGCGUAAAGCGCGCGUAGGCGGUGUGCAUAGUCAGAGGUGAAAGCCCGGGGCUCAACCCCGGAACUGCCUUUGAUACUGGCAUGCUAGAAUCCGUGAGAGGGUAGUGGAAUUCCUAGUGUAGAGGUGAAAUUCGUAGAUAUUAGGAAGAACACCAGUGG